rnacentral:rRNA from 1 species
AACGAACGUUGGCGGCGUGGAUUAGGCAUGCAAGUCGUACGAGUUUCAUCUGGGUAACUGGAUGAAAAAGGGGCGAAAGGGGCAGGAAGGCAUGGAUAAUCUACCCUGAUGACCGGGAUAGCUUUCCCAACGGGCAGGUAAUACCGGAUGAACUGGUGGGGCCGCCUGGUUCUGCCAGGAAAGGCGCAAGCCGGGUCGGGAGGAAUCCAUGUGAUAUUAGCUAGUUGGUGAGGUAAAGGCUCACCAAGGCGAAGAUGUCUAGCGGGUGUGAGAGCACGACCCGCGCCAUUGGCACUGAGACACUGGCCAGACUCCUACGGGAGGCUGCAGUCGAGGAUCUUCGGCAAUGGGCGAAAGCCUGACCGAGCGACGCCGCGUGAGCGAUGAAGGCCAUUAGGUUGUAAAGCUCUGUCGAGGGGGAACAAGCCGCAAGGUUGAGUGAUCCCUGGAGGAAGCACGGGCUAAGUUCGUG